rnacentral:rRNA from 1 species
UACGUAGGGUCUGAGCGUUGUCCGGAGUUACUGGGCGUAAAGCGCGCGCAGGCGGCGGUGCUGGCCCGGCGUGAAAGCCCCCGGCUCAACCGGGGAGGGUCGUCGGGGACCGCACCGCUUGAGGGCGGUAGGGGCUGGUGGAAUGCCUGGUGUAGUGGUGAAAUGCGUAGAGAUCAGGCGGAACACCCGUGGCGAAGGCGGCCAGCUGGGCCGUCCCUGACGCUGAGGCGCGAAGGCGUGGGGAGCGAACGGG